rnacentral:tRNA from 1 species
GCCGCAAUACCCCAAUUGGCAGAGGGAAUAGGUCGAGAGCCUAUUCAGUGAAAGUUCGAGUCUUUCUUGCGGUA